rnacentral:rRNA from 1 species
UACGGAGGGGGCAAGCGUUGUUCGGAUUUACUGGGCGUAAAGGGUGUGUAGGCGGUUGCGUAAGUCUGGUGUGAAAUCUUCACCGCUUAACGGGAAGAGGUCACUGGAAACUGCGUAACUCGAGUAUGGUAGAGGCAAGCGGAAUUCCUGGUGUAGCGGUGGAAUGUGUAGAUAUCAGGAAGAACAUCUGUGGCGAAGGCGGCUUGCUGGGCCAUCACUGACGCUGAGACACGAAAGCGUGGGGAGCAAACGGG